GAAAAAAAAAAAAAAGGGAGAAAAUGGAAUUAAAUUCCGAACCUACCUGCGAAGUCUUGUUUGUAGUUUUGGCCAGAAAUGGUGACAAGAAAAAGCAUGAAGAAGCCGCGAAGUGGAGGAGAAAAGGUGAAGGGAGAUGCAGCUCCUGGAGAAAUUGUAAAAAGCCUUGCAAAGAGUUGUCGGAAGGACCGUUAUUCCUGCUGGGCAGGUUAGGACUGAUCUCUUUCUGCCACUCCAGGAAACACAAACCUGGGGACGGACUGACGUGUUACGCCUCUUCUAAUGACAUUUUUUUCUUUUUCUUUUCUGUACGAGCGAGAGGAGAGACCCUGCAACACACGCCACCUAUCUUUGUGGGGAGGGAUAAUUGGAGAGCACCAAACAUAUGGAUCAGGGGUGAGAUGGGCUCUUUUCCUGGCUCUGCUCUUCCUUGGAAGUAGCUGAAUGAGCAGAGAGACAGCGUGGACAAGUAACGCGUGGGACUGAACUUCAGGGAGGUUACAAGUUUUUCACCUUUUUCAAUGGGAGAACAGCAUCCACAGGAUCCCAAACCUCUUCUCACACCAGGCAGAGAGCAGUGAGCAGCGAGCAUCCUCCAUCUGCUGUCCCGCACCGUGAGCUGGAGAUGCUUUUUCCUUCUCUUCUGGGAUCAGUGCUGAAGUUCGGCCACAUUUCUUGGCUCAGUUGGUAGUGAUUAAAAUUCACGGCUCACUUUUGUUUAUAGUUGGUUGUUUACUUUGUUG